AAAAGAUUUAUGCCAAUCUUUGGAAAGUAUAAAAGAUAGUGAAUUAAAUAAGGCAUGCACAUCUAGCUUGGAUAGCACAUUAGAUCUUCCUCAUACGGAUACCUUAAAUUCAUUUAAUUUAAGUUCUCCAAAUAUUGAUUUAAUAAAACAUGAUCACUUGUACUGUAUUCAGACAUCAUCAC